rnacentral:lncRNA from 1 species
GUCUUGCACUGCCUCCACCUCUUCCCACUGGCUUCUUGAGGGAAGAGGAAGAAGGAAGCUCUGCUUUGUCUUCAGGCUUUUUAUAAAAUGCCUGCUGCAAUCAACACCUGGUUUAACUAAAUUCCAUCCGCUUCGGUUGUGGGUUCUUUCACAGGAAGGCCCUGGGAUCGGCGAGGGGCUUCGGAAUGUCAGUGUCAAUGAGGACCCACAGAACUUAAUGCCUAGCACAGCACCCUCGUUGUUAAGACUGUCUUAGAAACACAGGUGCGGGAAAGAGGGACGAUGCUAAAAGCAGUUUAUCUUGGCCCACCAGCACCAGCACUACCAGUGGCAUCACCACGGAGCUGCUCGAAGGCCUGCCCAUCUACUCCUGCAGGUGUGUGGAUUACCUCAUCCUAUAGGAGAGCUCACAUGUGUAAGAUGCUACAAAGAGCCAAGAAAGAGUUCUGACUGAAGACAGAAGUGCUCUCUCAGGUGAGGGCCCUCUGAGGAAAAGUCUAGUCCUGACUAGAUCCUGACUUAUCUCCGGGUUGAAAAUCCCCUCUCUUCACCAGGUGUCACUUUAUGUCUGGGUAAGAUGAAGACAGACCAAUUUUAUUGCUCUUUCUAGAUUCACCUCUUAGUGAUGAACACCCUUUUGGCAAAUGGAAAAAUCACCAGAACUGAAGACAGGUGUUUGUUUCUUUCCAGCAUUCCACCUGCCAGCCGCUCCAAAGCCAUGAAAACCUUCUGGCAAAUCCUCUUGCGAGGCUCCUCCCCAUAGGACUAUUCCCAGUGAAAUGGAGUUACCGCCUCCGGCCCCAUCCCACCUCUCUUGAACUUUGCACUCGCUGUGA